rnacentral:lncRNA from 1 species
AUGGAGGAUACAAGGGAUGGGAUGCUCUUCCCAGACCAGAGUUUUUCCCCAAAAGCAGAAAGGAAGCCCAUGAGUCUCACAGAAUACACAGGGCUGGAAAGGGAUCCUCGGCUCUGUCCAGCCUGGACCGUGGUGCUCAGGAUGUGUCCCGAGUGGUCUCUGGAAAAUGUCUUUUGUUUUCCAGGUGGCAGAAGUGGCACAUGUAAACUUAAGUGGACGUGUUGUGGAGAGAACUGUUAUUAUUUUUCAAAAGAAUCAAAGAACUUUGAAGACAGCAAGAAAUUUUGUGAGAGAAUGGACUCCAAACUUGUUAAGAUAGAAGAUCAACCAAGAACUGAACUUCAUUCAGAGUCAAAUAUCUUAUUUUUCUUGGAUUGGGUUGUCCCGUAAAGGAACCAGCAGUCCCUGGACAUGGGAGGACAACUCAGUACCCCUUCUCAAAACUUUAAGUGAUUGGAAAGAGUCAACGAGUGGAAACUGUGGAAGUCUAACAGCAUCACAGAUGACUGCUUCUGACUGUGCCAGACUCAUGCACUCUAUCUGUGAGAAGAAAACUACAUGUCGUUCAACUUAAUGCUGGGAACACCACCAACAAAAAAUAAUAAUUUUUUCUUAGGAAUAAUUCAAACCCUUGGGAGCUCUGGAGUCUUCUCUCACUUCAGAGCAUCUGCAUUUUUAAAGAGCUCUACCUAUAUUAAAGCCCGAUUAAAAUGAGGUCCAAGUAUUGGUCUACUAAAAUGAGAUGCCAGAGACUUUGGAAUUCUACCAUUUUCAAUUCAAGACUUCCUGAUCACAGCAUCUAUGAAAACAAGAUGGACCAGAACAGUUUCAGGGCUCUGAUGAGGGUCAGGAAACCGAGCUGGGAAUACUCUUCCUGCAACUCACACACUUUCGUAGAUAAUUCCAUAAAUUUCAGGCACUAUUGUGCAAUUCGACUAGAAGUAAAUGCAGUGUAGUAAUUAAGAGCAGUAUUUUGUAUGAAGCAUGUAUGCAUUUCUGUUUGAAUCUUUACCUUUUGGGAGAAAGACACUAUGGAAUCUGGAAGGGGAAGAGAAUAGUAUCCUGAAUCCAGUCUGAGAAUAGUAUCCUGAAUCCAGUCUGAGAAUAGUAUCCUGAAUCCAGUCUGAAUUUGAGGACUGCACCAUACCUAAUAAUUGUGUGUUCACUGGCAAGUGAAAACUUUUGAAUCUGAGUUUCCUGAUCAGUAGAAAACUUCCAAAGUGUUUUCUAGAGUGCCUGUCAUUUUACAUUCCAGCAUACAUGAAAGCUCCAUUUGUUUACAUCCUUCUGAUAUGUAAUAUUGUCAGUACCUUCGGUCAUUUUAAUAAGGGUGUUGUGAAAUUUUAUUUGUGAUUUUAAUUAUAUUUCCCUAAUGAAUAAAUUAUAUUGGGAAACCUUUUGUGUGUGUUUU